rnacentral:snRNA from 3 species
GUGCUCACUUGGGCAGCACAUAUACUAAAAUCGGAACAACACAAGAGAAAAUUAGCAUGAGCUCUGCACAAGGAUGACUCGCAAAUUCGUGAAGCAGCGAUCAUAUUU